AUUGAACGCUGGCGGCAGGCCUAACACAUGCCAGUCGAGCGGAUGAAGGGAGCUUGCUCCUGGAUUCAGCUGCGGACGGGUGAGUAAUGCCUAGGAAUCUGCCUGGUAGUGGGGGAUAACGUCCGGAAACGGGCGCUAAUACCGCAUACGUCCUGAGGGAGAAAGUGGGAGAUCUUCGGACCUCACGCUAUCAGAUGAGCCUAGGUCGGAUUAGCUAGUUGGUGGGGUAAAGGCCUACCAAGGCGACGAUCCGUAACUGGUCUGAGAGGAUGAUCAGUCACACUGGAACUGAGACACGGUCCAGACUCCUACGGGAGGCAGCAGUGGGGAAUAUUGGACAAUGGGCGAAAGCCUGAUCCAGCAAUGCCGCGUGUGUGAAGAAGGUCUUCGGAUUGUAAAGCACUUUAAGUUGGGAGGAAGGGAAGUAAGUUAAUACCUUGCUGUUUUGACGUUACCAACAGAAUAAGCACCGGCUAACUUCGUG
rnacentral:rRNA from 1 species